UUAACUUGCUUGGUGCCUUUGUGAUAGUUCUCCAAGGUAAUCCAAAUUUGAUGAGCUGUAGUGCAAUAUUGCACUCUCCCACACUCUUUUCUAGAUAGGCAACUCACAAAAAUAGUCAUUGCUUGCUUGUUCUUGUGAUUAUGCUUCUUGUGAGCAUCCAUUCAUUCUUCUCUAGGGAGAAUCCUUUCUUCACCAUUUU
rnacentral:lncRNA from 1 species